rnacentral:misc_RNA from 1 species
CCUCACGGGUCUCAGCCGGGACGCUGAGAAGUGAUCCUUCCAAAGGUGACGCUUCGGAAGCCUUAGCAGCCUGAAAAGGUGGCCCUUCACGACUUGAUAAAUAAAGAGAGGUGCCUGAAAUGCUAGUCAGCCUUCGCCGCUGGCAACACCGUCAAAUUGCGGGAACCCCCUAAAGACUUCGCUACCAAGCAGCACUGGGACAACUGGGCUGUGGCCAGGUUAACGACCUCGGGUACGGUAACAAUGCGAAUGUAUGAACCUCUGGUCCUCGGAGGGGAAAUGGGCAAUCUGCAGCCAAGUCCUGACCACCCCCGUAACGGGGGGUGUUGGAUGCUGUUCACAGGCCAAAUGGUGGUGGGUCGAUCCCUAGCGAUCGGCUUAAGAUAUGGUCGGGCCCCUCGGGAAACCGUGGGGGUAGUCACCCGGCAGUCAACUGGAGGCGGAGAGCGAUACAGUGUAAGUUCUCCGUCAUGGGCGACUGUGGUUGUGAGGAAUUGUAUAUCCUAGCAACGACAUUUUUCAAACCGUUCCGUAGGUGAACCUGCGGAAGGAUCAUUAACGAGUUAGGGUCUCCCAGGCCCGACCUCCCAACCCUUUGUUUAUUAAACCUCUGUUGCUUCGGCGGACCCGUCUUCCCUGACCGCCGGAGGACCGCCGACUCGGCGUCCUCUGGCCAGCGUCCGCCGGGGGCCUCUUCUCCAAACUCUGGUUAAGCAUGAUUUUGUGUCUGAGUGAUUUGUAUCAAAUCAAAAGCAAAAACUUUCAACAACGGAUCUCUUGGUUCUGGCAUCGAUGAAGAACGCAGCGAAAUGCGAUAAGUAAUGCGAAUUGCAGAAUUCCAGUGAGUCAUCGAAUCUUUGAACGCACAUUGCGCCCUUUGGUAUUCCGAAGGGCAUGCCUGUUCGAGCGUCAUUAUCACCCCUCAAGCCCUCGUGCUUGGUGUUGGACGGUCUGGCGGAAGUGUCGUGCACCCCGCCCCUCCUAAAGACAAUGACGGCGGCCUCGUGGAACCCCCGGUACACUGAGCUUCUUUACCGAGCACGUAUCGGAUCAAGGGCGCCCGGGACACGGUCUUCUCCCUCAUGUGGGAAACAUUGCAAGGUUGACCUCGGAUCAGGUAGGAAUACCCCUGACUAAUAAUAUUUUGACGGGGGAAAGAAAGAAAAAAAGACAAAAA